rnacentral:rRNA from 1 species
UACGUAGGGUGCGAGCGUUAAUCGGAAUUACUGGGCGUAAAGCGUGCGCAGGCGGUUGUGCAAGACAGAUGUGAAAUCCCCGGGCUCAACCUGGGAACUGCAUUUGUGACUGCACGGCUGGAGUGCGGCAGAGGGGGAUGGAAUUCCGCGUGUAGCAGUGAAAUGCGUAGAUAUGCGGAGGAAUACCGAUGGCGAAGGCAAUCCCCUGGGCCUGCACUGACGCUCAUGCACGAAAGCGUGGGGAGCAAACAGG